ACGGGUGCCUCAUGCGUAUGCCACCUACCUUAAUCUGGGGGAUAGCCCGGAGAAAUCCGGAUUAAUACCGCAUAAAAUCACAGGAUGGCAUUAUCCAAUGAUCAAACAUUUAUGGGAUUGAGAUGGGCAUGCGUGUCAUUAGCUAGUUGGCGGGGUAACGGCCCACCAAGGCGACGAUGACUAGGGGAUCUGAGAGGAUGGCCCCCCACACUGGUACUGAGACACGGACCACACUCCUACGGGAGGCAGCAGUAAGGAAUAUUGGUCAAUGGAGGCAACUCUGAACCAACCAUGCCGCGUGCAGGAAGACUGCCCUAUGGGUUGUAAACUGCUUUUAUCCGGGAAUAAACCUUUCUACCUGUACCUGGCUGAAUGUACCGGAAGAAUAAGGAUCGGCUAACUCCGUGCCAACACCCGCGGUAAUACCGAAGAUCCAAGCGUUAUCCGGAUUUAUUGGGUUUAAAGGGUGCGUAGGCGGCCUGUUAAGUCAGGGGUGAAAGACGGUAGCUCAACUAUCGCAGUGCCCUUGAUACUGAUGGGCUUGAAUGGACUAGAGGUAGGCGGAAUGA
rnacentral:rRNA from 1 species